CACAUCGCGUUAAAACGCCGGAGUUAAGCAAUGUCGAGCCUGUCCAGUACCUAGAUGGGUGACCGCUUUGGAAUACAAGGUGCUGUAAG